GAGAAGGUGGCUCAGUGGUAGAGCGUUUGCCUUGAAUGCAUGAGGUCCUGGGUUCGAUUCCUGAGCUCCACA
rnacentral:tRNA from 1 species